GACGAACGCUGGCGGCGUGCUUAACACAUGCAAGUCGAGCGGUAAGGCCCUUUCGGGGGUACACGAGCGGCGAACGGGUGAGUAACACGUGGGUGACCUGCCCUUAGCUCUGGGAUAAGCCUGGGAAACUGGGUCUAAUACCGGAUAUGACUCCAUAACGCAUGUUGUGGGGUGGAAAGCCUUGUGCGGCUAGGGAUGGGCCCGCGGCCUAUCAGCUUGUUGGUGGGGUGAUGGCCACCAAGGCGACGACGGUAGCCGGCCUGAGAGGGCGACCGGCCACACUGGGACUGAGACACGGCCCAGACUCCUACGGGAGGCAGCAGUGGGGAAUCUUGCGCAAUGGGCGAAAGCCUGACGCAGCGACGCCGCGUGGGGA
rnacentral:rRNA from 1 species